rnacentral:rRNA from 1 species
GACGAACGCUGGCGGCGUGCUUAACACAUGCAAGUCGAACGGAAAGGCUCCUGCUUGCAGGGGUACUCGAGUGGCGAACGGGUGAGUAACACGUGGGUGAUCUGCCCUGCACUUCGGGAUAAGCCUGGGAAACUGGGUCUAAUACCGGAUAGGACGAUGGUUUGGAUGCCAUUUUUGAAAGAUUUUUCGGUGUGGGAUGGGCUCGCGGCCUAUCAGCUUGUUUGUGGGGUAAUGGCCUACCAAGGCGUCGACGGGUAGCCGGCCUGAGAGGGUGUACGGCCACAAUGGGACUGAGAUACGGCCCAGACUCCUACGGGAGGCAGCAGUGGGGAAUAUUGCACAAUGGGCGCAAGCCUGAUGCAGCGACGCCGGGUGGGGGAUGACGGCCUUCGGGUGGUAAACUCCUUUCGCUAGGGAAGAAGCGCAAGUGACGGUACCUGGAGAAGAAGCACCGGCUAACUACGUG